rnacentral:rRNA from 1 species
CCUACGGGGGGCAGUAGUGAGGAAUAUUGGUCAAUGGCCGUAAGGCUGAACCAGCCAAGUCGCGUGAAGGUAGAAGGAUCUAUGGUUUGUAAACUUCUUUUUUAGGGGAAUAAAGGUAUCCACGUGUGGAUAUUUGCAUGUACCCUAUGAAUAAGCAUCGGCUAACUCCGUGCAAGCAGCCGCGGUAAUAGGGAGGUUGCGGGCGUUAUCCGGAUUUAUUGGGUUUAAGGGGUGCGUAGGUUGGUUUUUAAGUCAGCGGUGAAAGUUUGUGGCUCAACCAUAAAAUUGCCGGUGAUACUGGAAGGCUUGAGUGUGUUUGAGGUAGGCGGAAUGCGUGGUGUAGCGGUGAAAUGCAUAGAUAUCACGCAGAACUCCGAUUGCGAAGGCAGCUUACUAAGCCAUAACUGACACUGAAGCACGAAAGCGUGGGGAUCAAACAGGAUUAGAUACCCGGGUAGUC